rnacentral:rRNA from 1 species
AUUGAACGCUGGCGGCAGGCCUAACACAUGCAAGUCGAACGAGUGGCGGACGGGUGAGUAAUGUCUGGGAAACUGCCCGACGGAGGGGGAUAACUACUGGAAACGGUAGCUAAUACCGCAUACGCUCGGAUGUGCCCAGAUGGGAUUAGCUAGGAGGUGGGGGAACGGCUCACCAAGGCGACGAUCCCUAGCUGGUCUGAGAGGAUGACCAGCCACACUGGAACUGAGACACGGUCCAGACUCCUACGGGAGGCAGCAGUGGGGAAUAUUGCACAAUGGGCGCAAGCCUGAUGCAGCCAUGCCGCGUGUAUGAAGAAGGCCUUCGGGUUGUAAAGUACUUUCAGCGAGGAGGCGUUACUCGCAGAAGAAGCACCGGCUAACUCCGUGCCAGCCGCCGCGGUAAUAC